rnacentral:rRNA from 1 species
AAUGAACGCUGGCGGCAGGCCUAACACAUGCAAGCCGAACGGAUCCUUCGGGAUUAGUGGCGGACGGGUGAGUAACGCGUGGGAACAUACCCUUUGGUACGGAAUAGCCUCGGGAAACUGGGAGUAAUACCGUAUGUGGUCGAGAGACGAAGGAUUUAUCGCCAAAGGAUUGGCCCGCGUUGGAUUAGGUAGUUGGUGGGGUAAUGGCCUACCAAGCCGACGAUCCAUAGCUGGUUUGAGAGGAUGAUCAGCCACACUGGGACUGAGACACGGCCCAGACGCCUACGGGAGGCAGCAGUGGGGAGUCUUAGACAAUGGGGAAACCCUGAUCUAGCCAUGCCGCGUGAUCGAUGAAGGCCUUAGGGUUGUAAAGAUCUUUCAGGUGGGAAGAUAAUGACUGUACCACCAGAAGAAGCCCCGGCUAACUCCGUGCCAGCCGCCGCGGUAA